GACGAACGCUGGCGGCGUGCUUAACACAUGCAAGUCGAACGGUGAAGCUCCAGCUUGCUGGAGUGGAUCAGUGGCGAACGGGUGAGUAACACGUGAGCAACCUGCCCCUGACUCUGGAAUAAGCGCUGGAAACGGCGUCUAAUACUGGAUACGAGAAGGGUCCGCAUGGGCACUUUCUGGAAAGUUUUUCGGUUGGGGAUGGGCUCGCGGCCUAUCAGCUUGUUGGUGAGGUAAUGGCUCACCAAGGCGACGACGGGUAGCCGGCCUGAGAGGGCGACCGGCCACACUGGGACUGAGACACGGCCCAGACUCCUACGGGAGGCAGCAGUGGGGAAUAUUGCACAAUGGGCGAAAGCCUGAUGCAGCGACGCCGCGUGAGGGAUGACGGCCUUCGGGUUGUAAACCUCUUUCAGCAGGGAAGAAGCGAAAGUGACGGUACCGGCAGAAGAAGCACCGGCUAACUACGU
rnacentral:rRNA from 1 species